rnacentral:lncRNA from 1 species
UCCGUCGUCUUCGCGGCAGAUCCGCUGCCGCGUCAAGACCACGGCCACCACCUUUCCUCCCUUCGCUCGUUCUCACCUUCUCUCAAUUUCGCACUGACUCACACACACACACACACGCACGCAGACACGGCGUAAGCCGCGCCACCGCGUCGACCUCUUCUCGCCGGUGGACAGACGGCCAGGAGCCGCCGCCUCCGUCGUCCGUCGAAUUCAAGGGUAAGCCCUAAUUCCCUUCUCCCUUUUUUUUUUUUUUAAAUUAAAAUCUGAAAUCCCCUCUCCUCUUUUCCUCUAUGGCAGAACGGAAACCACCACGUGGCUCCGCCGCCUCCCGUCGACCGCCGGCAGCCCCGCGACUGCCGUCUCUCUCGGAUCUCACACAAUACAGGGGCUCACCCCAAAUUUCAUUCAAACACUUAGCAUAGGGUUUGUGCAAAAACAUAUACUGCAAAGUCAUACACUGUAAAUAUGAAAUUAUAAAUAUCAUGUACUGUAAUACUUAUAAAAUCUGAAAUUCUUUUCUUGCAAUAAAACACUCAGUGUAGAAAUUUCAGUUCAUAUGUACAUAUGUAAACUUGUUGUGAAACAUCAAACAGGCGUGUAUGAAUUGGUGAUUCCCUGUAAAAGUGAAAUAGGGAAAACCUUGGAUUGGUGGUG